CCGAGCGCGACGCGGGAGCUGGUCCCGGCGGGUCCGCUGCCCCCGGGCUUGGCGGUGCACGUGUCCUCCAGGCGCCUGCUUUUGGCAGCCACGUCGCUUGUUUCCGCUUUGUUCUGGGGACGGUACCUUCUGGAGAGACAGGCGAGGCGGCGGGGAAUUGUGAGACGCGGCGACCUCCCGCAUCCUGCCCUCGAAGAAAGGCCGUGUGAGAAGGUGACAUCUACAAAUCAGAAAGAGAGUCCUCCCCAAGAACUGAAUGCGCCAGCACCUUGAACUCGGACUUCCCAGCCAUCAGAUUUGAUCAGGAUUGAUGAGCUCUGGCUUCAGGCUGGGACACAUUGGCAGGAGAAUACUUAUAAACUAACUGACAAAAAGCACCUUAAUUUAGAAGGAAGAAUAAAUCCCAGGCUGUUCCAUGCGGUUCUCAGGUGAUUCCUGGAAACAAACUUUCAUUGUCAAAACUUCCUCUCAUUCAUGAGUUCCUGCUUCUCACCCUACAAUGACAUAGGUAUAAAAUAAAACACAUUUAUAGUUGCAGAUGUUGGUAAAGAAAAUUCCAAAGAGGAAACUUUAAAAUACCUUUAAAAAUAACUUUCCAAAAAUAAUUGUUGGUUUAAAAUGCUAAAGUUGGAGAUUGAGUAAAUUUUUCAUAUUGCCUUACAGUUUAUGAAGCACUUACAGAUAGAUUACAUUGUUUAGUAGUAGAAUGUAAGACAGUUUUCCCAGUAGGAAAUGGGUUGUGUAAUUUAGUCAGAUCCCUGAGUGAAUGUGACAUAUUAAUAUUCACACAAUGUGCAAAGUUGGGAAGGAGAAACCUGGACAGGCAGUUGACUGAACAUGACUGGGGAAGCACCCAGCUCUGAGAGCCCCAGCUGGCCACUGUAGAAAGGGUAAGUCCUGCCAGUGGAGACAGACUAAUCUUGGUUCUUUUUUUUUUUUUAAGAUUUUAUUUAUUUAUUCAUGAAAGACACACACACACACAC